AUUGAACGCUGGCGGCAGGCCUAACACAUGCAAGUCGAGCGAGCGGCGGACGGGUGAGUAAUGUCUGGGAAACUGCCCGAUGGAGGGGGAUAACUACUGGAAACGGUAGCUAAUACCGCAUACCAUCGGCUUUGCCCAGAUGGGAUUAGCUAGUCGGUGGGGUAAAGGCUCACCUGGGCGACGAUCCCUAGCUGGUCUGAGAGGAUGACCAGCCACACUGGAACUGAGACACGGUCCCGACUCCUACGGGAGGCAGCAGGGGGGAAUAUUGCACAAUGGGCGCAAGCCUGAUGCAGCCAUGCCGCGUGUAUGAAGAAGGCCUUCGGGUUGUAAAGUACUUUCAGCGGGGAGGCGUUACCCGCAGAAGAAGCACCGGCUAACUCCGUGCCAGCAGCCGCGGUAAUUC
rnacentral:rRNA from 1 species